rnacentral:lncRNA from 1 species
AGGGACGUAAUUGAAACAUUAUCAAAGUAUAGGGCUGAUUCUUGUCAAACUUGAAAGAAAUUAAAACCCAAGGACCAAUUUAUAAAUGGCGCUGAGAUGCAGGGGUUCAAUUACAAUUUACCCAAGGACUGGACUGCAAAACGUCAAAAUGUCAAGGAUCAAAACGAAAAACACCAAAAACGGUGUCGUUUCUCAGCACUGUUCAUCUUCUUCAAUGCCUCAGCUGCCUGCCGCCACCAUUACUCCUGCAAUAACAGUCGAUUGAUUACCUGGUAACGGUGGAAUUCUGUGGCUAUAAAGCCAAAAAAAACAAAGAACGCGGGAGGAAAAGGAGACAAAAAAAAGAGCCACGAACAGGGGGGAAUCACAAAACCGGGGAAAGAGGAAGAAAAACUGGGGGGCAAAACUAGGGGAUUGGACUGAAAAGGAGAAGGAAAAACCGGGAGAAGAAGCCGGAGAAAAAGCCAGUGUACCCAGCUUUUCCCUCGUCUUUAGAACCUAGAAUACGAAGGCAACACAGGAGACACGAAUAAACCAGAAAAACAGAGGAAAACCAGAGCAGGGCUAGAGGCAGAACCAGAGCAAAAACAAAGCAAAGAACCCGAGAAAGCUUGGGUCCAGCCAACCCCCGGUUCCAGGACCCUUACCAUCGUAGUCUUCAUCCAGAGCAGGGGAAUUCGAAAGCAGAGACCAAAGGUUUUCUUUCCUUCCUAAACACAAUCUCAAAGGGGAAGAAGGAAAACAGAGAAGGAAAGAAAAACGGAGAGGCAACCAUUUCGCACCUGCAGAAAAAGAACAAUCCAAAGGAUAGUGGAGCCACCGCGCCAUCGUCUUCGGCGCCGUUCUUUGCUGCAUAGGUAAGUUU